rnacentral:rRNA from 1 species
UACGUAGGGUGCAAGCGUUAAUCGGAAUUACUGGGCGUAAAGCGUGCGCAGGCGGUUUUGUAAGUCUGAUGUGAAAGCCCCGGACUCAACCUGGGAAUUGCGAUGGAGACUGCAAGGCUUGAAUCUGGCAGAGGGGGGUAGAAUUCCACGUGUAGCAGUGAAAUGCGUAGAGAUGUGGAGGAACACCGAUGGCGAAGGCAGCCCCCUGGGUCAAGAUUGACGCUCAUGCACGAAAGCGUGGGGAGCAAACAGG